rnacentral:rRNA from 1 species
AUUGAACGCUGGCGGCAGGCCUAACACAUGCAAGUCGAACGGUAACAGGAAACAGCUUGCUGUUUCGCUGACGAGUGGCGGACGGGUGAGUAAUGUCUGGGAAACUGCCUGAUGGAGGGGGAUAACUACUGGAAACGGUAGCUAAUACCGCAUAACGUCGCAAGACCAAAGAGGGGGACCUUCGGGCCUCUUGCCAUCGGAUGUGCCCAGAUGGGAUUAGCUAGUAGGUGGGGUAACGGCUCACCUAGGCGACGAUCCCUAGCUGGUCUGAGAGGAUGACCAGCCACACUGGAACUGAGACACGGUCCAGACUCCUACGGGAGGCAGCAGUGGGGAAUAUUGCACAAUGGGCGCAAGCCUGAUGCAGCCAUGCCGCGUGUAUGAAGAAGGCCUUCGGGUUUUAAAGUACUUUCAGCGGGGAGGAAGGGAGUAAAGUUAAUACCUUUACUCAUUGACGUUACCCGCAGAAGAAGCACCGGCUAACUCCGUG